GCAUCGUCAGCACUAGUUUGGAGUCAAAUCUGACAGCCGCUGCUUUGCCCGCUCCAUCCACCGGUUCUCCUUUAACUCCCCGGCGGCUGUCCCAGCUCCUUUAAAGAGCUCGCACAGUCGGGACUGUGGGAGCGCAUCGGACCGCUGUGAUCAACUUGGGGCGCAGAAAGAGCAGGGAAACUCCUCGGGAUUCUCCGUACAUCGAGCGCUGAUCUGGAUGUUGUGUUUGACGUACUCAAGAACUUCUUAAGGUAAGA